rnacentral:rRNA from 1 species
CCUACGGGAGGCAGCAGUGGGGAAUAUUGGACAAUGGGCGAAAGCCUGAUCCAGCAAUGCCGCGUGAGUGAUGAAGGCCUUCGGGUCGUAAAGCUCUUUUACCAGGGAUGAUAAUGACAGUACCUGGAGAAUAAGCUCCGGCUAACUCCGUGCCAGCAGCCGCGGUAAUACGGAGGGAGCUAGCGUUGUUCGGAAUUACUGGGCGUAAAGAGUACGUAGGCGGUUAUUCAAGUCAGAGGUGAAAGCCCGGGGCUCAACCCCGGAACUGCCUUUGAAACUAGAUAACUAGAGUCUUGGAGAGGUUAGUGGAAUUCCGAGUGUAGAGGUGAAAUUCGUAGAUAUUCGGAAGAACACCAGUGGCGAAGGCGACUAACUGGACAAGUACUGACGCUGAGGUACGAAAGCGUGGGGAGCAAACAGGAUUAGAUACCCUGGUAGUCCACGCCGUAAACGAUGAUAACUAGUUGUUCGGUCACUUGGUGACUGAGUGACGCAGCUAACGCAUUAAGUUAUCCGCCUGGGGAGUACGGUCGCAAGAUUAAAACUCAAAGGAAUUGACGG